rnacentral:lncRNA from 1 species
CAUCAUUUGCGCGCGUGGGGUUCGGGGCACGGGCUGCUAUCCCACCAGGAAGGCUUCGGCGAAUCUGGUACCUCGGCGCGGGCCGCGUGGUGCAUAAGGCCCGCCUGAUCGCCACGCCGCCCCCCGUAUGUGCAGAUUUCUCAGCGUAGCCUGCAGGAGCAACUCCUGGCCCAACUCCAGACUAAACCGUUUGAAGUUCAUCCCAACCUGCGACGUAGUCUUGAGUGCAGCUCUUGCUGUCAUUCAUUCAGAAUAGAGUUGUAGAUUUCAGGACCAUUAAUUCGGAUAUUGUCUAAUAUUGUUUUCCUAGGCAGAGGAAGCUAGUUAAAGAAUAGGUCCCAGGCAGAGGAAGCUAGUUAAAGAAUAGGAGAAAUUUAGAUGAAAGAAUUAUUUUCCUCGUCCAAUAGAUGUGUGAUCACCUUCCCUGAAGGACUUUGAAAUCAGUAUUGCUUCGUUUGCCCUGACUGGUUACAAGGAAAAGGGAUAGACUGUAGUCUGCAAAAGUUGUGAAGAGAACUGAACUUGAGAGUCAGAAGAUCCUUUGAGUUAUUACCAAUGGUGAGAUCUGUUUUCCCAACAUAAGACAGUUUUCAGCAUCUGUGAGAGGAGGUUAGGCCGUGGCUCUGAAUGUGGCCAAACUGAAGACAUUGAGGGCCCUUCAUUUACCUCCAUUCACCCAUACCCACUCCUUAUGGGAAAGUAGCUUCUAAAAGCUUCCUCACUUAGCUCUAUCCACACAGAUCCCAUCUUUACAGGAUAAUGGCUUCUAAAAGCUUCCUUUGGGAUAUGGGGGAGAUCAUUGCACUUAUCCUGCCUAGUGUUAAGACAAUGAGUCGACCUUGAUUUAUUAUGUAUAUCUGCUGACAAGCCAAUAAAGUUUAUGAAGUGCUUUGGACUGAAUAUAAAAACUAUCAUGUUAGCAUUACU